AAUUUGAUGUGGGUAGUUUAAUAGUUCUUUUUAGUAAUUUAGAAGACCGAUUGUUGCCCUGCAUAAUUUCCUCAGCAGCCCACUUCCCUCAACGUUUGAUCUGGGGCAAUUCCCUGAACCAAAAUUUUUAUUUUAUCCGCCCAGUCCAUUUCUUUUUGACCCAGUCUGCUUAAACCCGACCCGUUCCCCUUUUCAUGCUCCUCAACGACAACAAUACUCAGAAGCGUGCAACAUCCAUCCCAGCACCUAAGUAACAAAACGACAAUCCUAGAAGCAAUCCAAUUGUUUCUCUCGCUUUGGGUACUACUCAUUUUUGCGUGUUUCCCCUUUCGCGUGUGAUACGUUCCCUUCCCCCUUUGUUCUGUUGUUUCCAACCUCUAGACUGUGUACUCGUACGAACGACAACAACAAUAGACGCAGAAUCGUCCUUGUGAGCUUGGAGAUGGCGCCUGCGGGGCUCCAAGGACGACUGAGUCGAUCCCAAUUUCUAUGCAUUUAUAUAGAGAAUUAUUUGGGAAAUAUUUGGAUUUUGGGAUGAAGUUGAAGUUAAAUUUCAAACCUACGGUAAAACUCGAUUUUGCCCUCGCCUUUCCCCUCUCAGAAUCCGAAAACCCUAAUAUUUUUCGAUAAGUAUUCUCUUUCUCACUGGUCUUGGGGGGAUUUUUGUAGCGAAAAAAAGAGUGCACAGAGACAGGAAUUUUGGGAGAAACUUGCUAAAUGCUUGUGAUAUUCUUCUGUGUAAAUAAAGUUCAACGAAAGUUAGGAAGAAAUUUUCUUUCAGAAUGAAAUUCCUUGGCUAAAGCGGAAAGAAAUAAAAGCUAUAGAAAAUAUUUAACGUACACUAAGUGUACGAGACAACAAUUUCCAGCAUUUUGAGUUCAUUAUCACGCAGAGAUUUUCUCACUUGUUGCUUCCGUUCCGAUUUUCUCGUGGAAAAGGUUGUUUCCCCUACUCGUUCCGUCCACAGUUCGUUGCCAUCAACAAGUGAGUAUACCAACGACUUUGACUUGCCCUCAGCUCUAAUCAGUCUCAACACAUCAGAUUCAAGGUUGCAGGAAGAGGUGGACGCUAGAGAUACAUGUUGACGCUGAAACUAUCCGGACGUGGGGCAUCCAUCCGGACUUGGUAGGCCCUCAUGCUUUCGAGGAUGCUUUCCCAUUAUAUUCUAACUUAGUUAUAUGAUUGAGCUAGUGGAGUAUGUUCCACUAGCGUUUCUUUCCGCUUUUGUUCAGACAUUGUAUUGGUGCCAUUUUGGCAAGUAUACAUUUAGUUUUAUAUUGAA